rnacentral:rRNA from 1 species
CCAUAUACCGAGGCUGCCGAUCGAGCGAGCUUGCUCGCGAAGUGAUUGAACGAGGUUCCAGGAAAAGCCACUAAGCUUCAGCUACACACGACCGUACCGCAAACCGACACUGGUGCGCGAGAUGAGUAUUCUAAGGCGCUUGAGAGAACUCGGGAGAAGGAACUCGGCAAAUUGACACCGUAACUUCGGAAGAAGGUGUGCCCUAGUAGUGUGAAGUGAACAACGGAGCAUGAAUGGGUUGCAAAAAAUCGGUGGCUGCGACUGUUUAUUAAAAACACAGCACUCUGCAAACACGAAAGUGGACGUAUAGGGUGUGACGCCUGCCCGGUGCUGGAAGAUUAAAUGAUGGGGUGCAAGCUCUUGAUUGAAGUCCCAGUAAACGGCGGCCGUAACAAUAACGGUCCUAAGGUAGCGAAAUUCCUUGUCGGGUAAGUUCCGACCUGCACGAAUGGCGUAACGAUGGCCACACUGUCUCCUCCCGAGACUCAGCGAAGUUGAAAUGUUUGUGAUGAUGCAAUCUCCCCGCGGAAAGACGGAAAGACCCCAUGAACCUUUACUGUAGCUUUGUAUUGGACUUUGAACAGAUCUGUGUAGGAUAGGUGGGAGGCUUUGAAGCAGGGUCGCUAGAUCUUGUGGAGCCAACGUUGAAAUACCACCCUGGUGUGUUUGAGGUUCUAACCUAGGUCCAUUAUCUGGAUCGGGGACAGUGCAUGGUAGGCAGUUUGACUGGGGCGGUCUCCUCCCAAAGCGUAACGGAGGAGUUCGAAGGUACGCUAGUUACGGUCGGACAUCGUGACGAUAGUGCAAUGGCAUAAGCGUGCUUAACUGCGAGACUGACAAGUCGAGCAGAUGCGAAAGCAGGACAUAGUGAUCCGGUGGUUCUGUAUGGAAGGGCCAUCGCUCAACGGAUAAAAGGUACUCUGGGAUAACAGGCUGAUACCGCCCAAGAGUUCAUAUCGACGGCGGUGUUUGGCACCUCGAUGUCGGCUCAUCUCAUCCUGGGGCUGUAGCCGGUCCCAAGGGUAUGGCUGUUCGCCAUUUAAAGAGGUACGUGAGCUGGGUUUAAAACGUCGUGAGACAGUUUGGUCCCUAUCUUCCGUGGGCGCUGCAGAUUUGAGGAAGCCUGCUCCUAGUACGAGAGGACCGGAGUGGACGCACCUCUGGUGUAUCGGUUGUCACGCCAGUGGCAUUGCCGAGUAGCUAUGUGCGGAAGAGAUAACCGCUGAAAGCAUCUAAGCGGGAAACUCGUUCCAAGAUGAGAUCUGCCUAAAA